GACGAACGCUGGCGGCGUGCUUAACACAUGCAAGUCGAACGGAAAGACCCUGCUUUUGUGGGGUGCUCGAGUGGCGAACGGGUGAGUAACACGUGAGUAACCUGCCCUUGACUUUGGGAUAACUUCAGGAAACUGGGGCUAAUACCGGAUAGGAGCUCCUGCUGCAUGGUGUGGGUUGGAAAGUUUCGGCGGUUGGGGAUGGACUCGCGGCUUAUCAGCUUGUUGGUGGGGUAGUGGCUUACCAAGGCUUUGACGGGUAGCCGGCCUUAGAGGGUGACCGGCCACAUGGGGACUGAGAUACGGCCCAGACUCCUACGGGAGGCAGCAGUGGGGAAUAUUGCACAAUGGGCGGAAGCCUGAUGCAGCAACGCCGCGUGCGGGAUGACGUCCUUCGGGUUGUAAACCGCUUUCGCCUGUGACGAAGCGUGAGUGACGGUAAUGGGUAAAGAAGCACCGGCUAACUACGUG
rnacentral:rRNA from 1 species